UUCAGAUUAGCUUCCGUUUAGCAUUCUUACAAUUUUUAUGUCCUAUUUUACCCUCAUCUUCCCAAGCCGAAAUCCACCUCCAGAUCUCUCCCUCCCAACAUCAAACAGAAGCUGCCAGUGGGUAGGGAAGUCCAAAACAGACUUCUGUUCUUCAAAUCCCAAUAAGUAUCUCCAAAGAAACCCUCAAGAAAACCUUUCCAAUUCAAUUAAGCAGACAAAUCAAAAAUCCCAGAGUCGGGGAAAAUACAGUUAAAAGCGUAUAGAAAAGAGACAAGGAGAGCUCUUCGUCUUCUUCUUCCCAAUUUCAGUUCAUUGUUGGUAUUGGACUGUUAACUACCGAUUUGCUCCAGAUAUAAAUCGUUGGCAAGCUGAAGCUCUAGUUGCAAUUGGAUAGGUAUCAUUUAGUUGCAAUUCAAGAGGUUUUUAGAUUGCAAUUCCAAUAAAUUGGACUGUUUUUUUAUGGCUUUAUCCAUAGUAAUGUUUUUAUAUUUAUAUUUUGCAAGUGGUGAUGUAAUCAGUUGAUUUGUAUUGGUAUUGAAAAUUUUGAAUUUAGGAUCGAAUUUCUUAA